GAUGAACGCUGGCGGCGUGCCUAAUACAUGCAAGUCGAGCGAACGGACGAGAAGCUUGCUCCUCUGAUGUUAGCGGCGGACGGGUGAGUAACACGUGGAUAACCUACCUAUAAGACUGGGAUAACUUCGGGAAACCGGAGCUAAUACCGGAUAAUAUUUUGAACCGCAUGGUUCAAUAGUGAAAGACGGUCUUGCUGUCACUUAUAGAUGGAUCCGCGCUGCAUUAGCUAGUUGGUAAGGUAACGGCUUACCAAGGCAACGAUGCAUAGCCGACCUGAGAGGGUGAUCGGCCACACUGGAACUGAGACACGGUCCAGACUCCUACGGGAGGCAGCAGUAGGGAAUCUUCCGCAAUGGGCGAAAGCCUGACGGAGCAACGCCGCGUGAGUGAUGAAGGUCUUCGGAUCGUAAAACUCUGUUAUUAGGGAAGAACAUAUGUGUAAGUAACUAUGCACAUCUUGACGGUACCUAAUCAGAAAGCCACGGCUAACUACGUG
rnacentral:rRNA from 1 species